CCUACGGGUGGCAGCAGUGGGGAAUAUUGCGCAAUGGGCGCAAGCCUGACGCAGCGACGCCGCGUGAGGGAUGAAGGUCUUCGGAUCGUAAACCUCUGUCAGCAGGGAAGAACGGUCACUGUGCUAAUCAGCAGUGAAUUGACGGUACCUGCAAAGGAAGCACCGGCUAACUCCGUGCCAGCAGCCGCGGUAAUACGGAGGGUGCGUGCGUUAAUCGGAAUUACUGGGCGUAAAGCGCUCGUAGGCGGUAUGUCAAGUCAAGGGUGAACUCCCCGCGCUAAACGGGGGAACUGCCUUUGAUACUGGCAGGCUUGAGUGUGGGAGAGGAUAGUGGAAUUCCAGGUGU
rnacentral:rRNA from 1 species